rnacentral:rRNA from 1 species
AUACGGAGGGUGCAAGCGUUAAUCGGAAUUACUGGGCGUAAAGCGUGCGUAGGUGGUUUGUAAAGUCAGAUGUGAAAGCCCCGGGCUCAACCUGGGAACUGCAUUUGAAACUGGCAUACUAGAGUAUAGGAGAGGAAAGUGGAAUUUCAGGUGUAGAGGUGAAAUGCGUAGAUAUCUGAAGGAACAUCAAUGGCGAAGGCAGCUUUCUGGACUAAUACUGACACUGAGGUACGAAAGCGUGGGUAGCAAACAGGAUUAGAUACCCUAGUAGUCC